AUACUUACCUGGCAAGGGAGACACCGUGAUCAAGAAGGCGGUUCACACAGGGCGAGGCUCAGCCAUUGCACUCCGGCUGUGCUGACCCCUGCGAAUUUCCCAAAUGUGGAAAUCUCGAUUGCAUAAUUCUGGUAGUGGGGGACUGCGUUCGCGCUCUCCCCUG
rnacentral:snRNA from 8 species